ACCCGCUGAACUUAAGCAUAUCAAUAAGCGGAGGAAAAGAAACCAACAGGGAUUGCCCUAGUAACGGCGAGUGAAGCGGCAACAGCUCAAAUUUGAAAUCUGGCUCUUUUAGAGUCCGAGUUGUAAUUUGCAGAGGGCGCUUUGGCUUUGGCAGCGGUCCAAGUUCCUUGGAACAGGACGUCACAGAGGGUGAGAAUCCCGUACGUGGUCGCUGGCUAUUGCCGUGUAAAGCCCCUUCGACGAGUCGAGUUGUUUGGGAAUGCAGCUCUAAAUGGGAGGUACAUUUCUUCUAAAGCUAAAUAUUGGCCAGAGACCGAUAGCGCACAAGUAGAGUGAUCGAAAGAUGAAAAGCACUUUGGAAAGAGAGUCAAACAGCACGUGAAAUUGUUGAAAGGGAAGCGCUUGCAGCCAGACUUGCUUACAGUUGCUCAUCCGGGCUUUUGCCCGGUGUACUCUUCUGUAGGCAGGCCAGCAUCAGUUUGGGCGGUAGGAUAAAGGUCUCUGUCACGUACCUCUCUUCGGGGAGGCCUUAUAGGGGAGACGACAUACUACCAGCCUGGACUGAGGUCCGCGCAUCUGCUAGGAUGCUGGCGUAAUGGCUGU
rnacentral:rRNA from 1 species